CCAAACCACUACACUUGAUUAAGACUGGGCCUUAGAGAAGGCAAUGCCUUGCAGAUGUGAACAGUAAAAGGACAAUAAGUAAAUGUUGGAGGUUAGGAUUUUUCCUUUUUUUUUUUCUUUCUCUCAGGGAAUUUUGUCCCAUAUUUCCGAAGAGAUGAUAACGACUGGUACUUAAGAGACAAAAGAAGUGGCCAAGGAGGGGGAAGGGUGCAGGAUCGGAGUGGAGAGGUGCGGUUUUGGUGCCAAACUGUUGCUGCCCAGAGGAUUCGCUGCCACUGCGGAGUUCUUGUCCUGCACGGAUUCUACUUACUGUGGGUUGCCCGCUGUUACCCAUGUGCAGAGAGGUGGCUGAGCUCGUGCCACAGUGCCCCCUGCAGCUGCAGGGGAAUCAUUGCACCUGCCCUUCCUGGCCAGGAGCCGACAGCACCCCUGCUGGCUGUGACCAUGACUACACCAAAGGGGAAAUUGCUUGACAGCUGAGAGAAGGCUGUUACUGGGUUUCUGUUUUUGUUUGUUGUUGCUGCUGUUGUUAUUGGU